UAGGGAAUCUUCGGCAAUGGGGGGAACCCUGACCGAGCAACGCCGCGUGAGUGAAGAAGGUUUUCGGAUCGUAAAGCUCUGUUGUUAAGGAAGAACGAGUGUGAGAAUGGAAAGUUCAUACUGUGACGGUACUUAACCAGAAAGGGACGGCUAACUACGUGCCAGCAGCCGCGGUAAUACGUAGGUCCCGAGCGUUGUCCGGAUUUAUUGGGCGUAAAGCGAGCGCAGGCGGUUAGAUAAGUCUGAAGUUAAAGGCAGUGGCUCAACCAUUGUAGGCUUUGGAAACUGUUUAACUUGAGUGCAGAAGGGGAGAGUGGAAUUCCAUGUGUAGCGGUGAAAUGCGUAGAUAUAUGGAGGAACACCGGUGGCGAAGGCGGCUCUCUGGUCUGUAACUGACGCUGAGGCUCGAAAGCGUGGGGAGCGAACAGG
rnacentral:rRNA from 1 species